AAGAGCAAAAAAGGCUUAACUGGCCGGGAGUGAAUCGAUUCGCGCGUGUCUAGACCCUAGUCUAGACGGGCAUUGUGCCCGUGGUACGCGUACACCCCGCGAUCGAUCUCAUUCGCCCUGGAAAAGGUGCUCAUUCGGCCGCCGGAGCUCGCGACGUCGCCAUCUUACGAGGUUUCCUAGCAUCAGAAACUCACUCCUACUGUCUUAUACCAUCAUCGCUACAAAAGUGAAGAGUGAUCGAUUUGAAACCCCAAUUGGAGAUCCCCUUCUCUCAGCUCUCGUAUUAGUGUAACCAAAUGACUGUUAUAUGUCUUCGAAGGCACUAAAUGUUUCCGAAUUUGUUGAAAUGAAAAUUUUGUCAAAUAGAAGUUCAGAAAUUUAUAAUGACGUUCCAGCGUUUCAGGAAUUGUGAGCGAACUUUUUGUGAAAGCUUGUGGCAUCACAACAUAAUAAAAGUAACACGCGUAAAAAGGAAGCACUUGAGGCCAUCCGAGUACUCUGUAAUUUGCCAUUUGCAACCAUACCAUAAUUUGCACGAAUCUCUUCAGGAAAAUUUAAGUAACAGGAAAAUCUGUAUGCUGCUGUAUCAAGCUGACGAAGAAAAAAAAAUGGAUUCCAGCUUCAAGAUCCUUCGGGCAAGGUCGGAUCGAAGAGCACCGGUGGGUUUAAUACUUAGACCAAAGUCGACCUCAGCAUGAACGUUUGAACCUUUCCAAAUCAGCGAAGGAAAACUACCACCGGUAGACAAAAAAAAAAAAAAAAAAAAAAAAAAAAAAAGGAGAAAAUCUUGGAUGCCUGCCAAUUCAGCGAAGAAGCAAAACUUUCCCCAGCAGAUAUGCCUAUUCCUCCGCGGAGCGGCAAAGAAAAUCUUUGAGUUGAUCAGGGAAACAAUCAAUUAAAAAUCAGUGAAUAAAAAUAUUUUGGAGAUUCC